GCUUUGCGUUAGCAAACACUGCAAGCCUGGGACUGGGCAGAUAGCCCAAAUUUGUUUUCUCACCUGAGGUGACACAAAUAGGCUACAUGGGAAUUUGCAGUUGCAUUGAAAAUGGUGUUUUUGAUUUGUUUUCCUUUUUUUUUUUGCAUAGGGAGAGAAGGGGAAGUUGAAGACAGCUGUUGUUUUUGAUGAGGCUCACUGCUGCUUCUGACUCCCUCCUGCUGUAAGCAGAAAAGCUGGGUGACUCCUGCAGCUGAGCUGCUUCACAGUCUGUUCUGCUGGGGCUGGAUCUCACCUGUGUGUUGCAUGGCUAAGCAUGAAGUUCCAUGGCCUUGGAAUGGCCUUGGAAUGAAGGUACCUGAGCUGUAAGGUUUACUCAGAAGAAGAAGGCUUUGGCUUAGAAGAGACAACCAACCUGAGUAAGGCGGGAGCUGUCUCUGGCAGUAUCCGUGGGUGAGUGCCACUGACGUCAUCGUGGAAUUGUGCUGAUGCUGUGGGCAGAAAUCUUAAGAAAUUGCCCCGAAUGUUGUUACUGGAGAAGAGUGGAGAUGGAAGGAAACUGUCUGAGCAUAUGUGGGUUCUGCAUUGCUGUAUAUGAUCUGACUUCAUUUGCUCUGAUUUUCCCCUGAAUGGUGGUUGUAGAUGUUAUGUUUGCAAUCACCAGGCAGUUUAAUUCAAAAACGGUUGAAGAUAGCAGGUCUCCAACCCUCAGUUUUGCUUUGCUUUGGAUCUCAGCAUUUGUCCUAUUUCCAAGAAGGCAGUUACAGCUUACAAUGCUGAAGUCCUUUUUUCUUUUAAAAAAUAAAUAUUAUUUGACAAUGACUUGUC